rnacentral:SRP_RNA from 1 species
GCCAGGCGUAGUGGCAUGUGUCUGUAGUCCCAGCUACUCGGGAGGCUGAGGUGGGAGGAUCGCUUAAGUCCAGGAGUUCUGGGCUGUAGUGUGCUAUGCUGAUCAGGUGUGUGCACUAAGUUCGGCAUCAAUAUGGUGACCUCCCGGGAGCAGGGGACCACCAGAUUGCCUAAGGAGGGGUGAACUAGCCCAGGUUGGAAAUGAAGCAGGUCAAAACUCCCGUGCUGAUCAGUAAUGGGAUCACGCCUGUGAAUAGCCACUGCACUCCAUCCUGGGCAACAAAGCGGAGCAAAAGUUU